rnacentral:rRNA from 1 species
AUUGAACGCUAGCGGGAUGCUUUACACAUGCAAGUCGAACGGCAGCGCGGACUUCGGUCUGGCGGCGAGUGGCGAACGGGUGAGUAAUGUAUCGGAACGUGCCCAGUAGCGGGGGAUAACUACGCGAAAGCGUAGCUAAUACCGCAUACGCCCUACGGGGGAAAGCAGGGGUUCGUAAGACCUUGCACUAUUGGAGCGGCCGAUAUCGGAUUAGCUAGUUGGUGAGGUAACGGCUCACCAAGGCGACGAUCCGUAGCUGGUUGGAGAGGACGACCAGCCACACUGGGACUGAGACACGGCCCAGACGCCUACGGGAGGCAGCAGUGGGGAAUUUUGGGCAAUGGGGGCAACCCUGAUCCAGCCAUCCCGCGUGUGCGAUGAAGGCCUUCGGGUUGUAAAGCACUUUUGGCAGGAAAGAAACGUCGCGGGCUAAUACCCCGUGGAACUGACGGUACCUGCAGAAUAAGCACCGGCUAACUACGUG